UAAAAACUGAAUAGGAAAGAUGGCAAAAAGGAAGGCUUUACUAAAGCACAACAUUUUUUAUACACAACAUAGUGGACUAAUUUAAUCUUAACUACUAGUGCUACUCCUUUGAGAGAGAGAGAGAAUGAAGUUCUUGUUCCAGGGUCCAUGUUGUUCUUGUUUCUGCUUCAUGAAGCCACAGAAAGGCAAACCAAAAGCUAAAGUGGAAGAAGCCAAACCUAAAGAUAAGAAGGUGGAAGAAGCUAAAGCUAAGGAUAAGAAGGUGGAAGAAGCCAAACCUAAAGAAAAGAAGGCGGAAGAAGCCAAACCAAAAGAGAAGGAAGAAAGCAAACCAGAAUAAUGAUAGUAGAGGCAAUGGCAAAUGCAGCUAUAUUAUUCUAGUACAAGUAUUGUUCUUCAUUUACUUUACUGCUUGUUUAUGGUGUUUUCCAAUUUCCAUCCAUAUGGUGUGCAAUCUUUAACACUUUCUUUGGAAAACGCUAGUACUAUUUCUCCUCCUAAUGUAUUUUUAUAAGAAAAUAAUUUCACUUUAUUUACUCUGAAAGGCAAAAGUAAUACUUCUGUUGCUCGAAUUCUUAAAAAAUUGUCACUUCUAAAAAAUGCAUAACUUUUGCAAGA
rnacentral:lncRNA from 1 species